rnacentral:rRNA from 1 species
GGCCGCACUAGUGAUUUCUGUUUGAUCCUGGCAGAGGAUGAACGCUAGCUACAGGCUUAACACAUGCAAGUCGAGGGGCAUCAGGACGAUAGCUUGCUAUUGUUGCUGGCGACCGGCGCACGGGUGAGUAACGCGUAUCCAACCUUCCCCAUAGUAGAGGAUAGCCCGGCGAAAGUCGGAUUAAUACUCUAUGUUGUGUCACGAGGACAUCUGAAUAACACCAAAGAUUUAUCGCUAUGGGAUGGGGAUGCGUCUGAUUAGCUUGUUGGCGGGGUAACGGCCCACCAAGGCGACGAUCAGUAGGGGUUCUGAGAGGAAGGUCCCCCACAUUGGUACUGAGACACGGACCAAACUCCUACGGGAGGCAGCAGUGAGGAAUAUUGGUCAAUGGACGAGAGUCUGAACCAGCCAAGUAGCGUGCAGGAAGACUGCCCUAUGGGUUGUAAACUGCUUUUAUAGGGGGAAUAAAGUGAGGUAUGCAUACCUUUUUUGUAUGUACCCUAUGAAUAAGGACCGGCUAAUUCCGUGCCAGCAGCCGCGGUAAUAACGGAAAGGUCCGGGAGUUAUCCAGUAUUUAUUGGGGUUUACAGGGGAGCGCAGGUCGCACGCCUUAACUUGACUGUGUAUAUUGUCCCGUGCUCAUCCGGUGG